rnacentral:rRNA from 1 species
GGUGACCGUCCUCCCGAAGGUUAAACUAACCACUUCUUUUGCAUCCCACUCCCAUGGUGUGACGGGCGGUGUGUACAAGGCCCGGGAACGUAUUCACCGUAGCAUUCUGAUCUACGAUUACUAGCGAUUCCGACUUCACGGAGUCGAGUUGCAGACUCCGAUCCGGACUACGACAAGCUUUGUGGGAUUCGCUAAACCUCGCGGUAUCGCUGCCCUCUGUACCUGCCAUUGUAGCACGUGUGUAGCCCAUCCCGUAAGGGCCAUGAUGACUUGAUAUCGUCCCCACCUUCCUCCGGUUUAUCACCGGCAGUCUCCUUAGAGUUCCCGACAUAACUCGCUGGCAAAUAAGGAUAGGGGUUGCGCUCGUUGCGGGACUUAACCCAACAUUUCACAACACGAGCUGACGACAGCCAUGCAGCACCUGUCACAGAGUUCCCGAAGGCACAAGUCUAUCUCUAGUCUCUUCUCUGGAUGUCAAGGGAUGGUAAGGUUCUUCGCGUUGCAUCGAAUUAAACCACAUGCUCCACCGCUUGUGCGGGCCCCCGUCAAUUCAUUUGAGUUUUAACCUUGCGGCCGUACUCCCCAGGCGGUCAACUUAGUGCGUUAGCUGCGCCACUCACGCCUCAAGGGCACAAACGGCUAGUUGACAUCGUUUACGGCGUGGACUACCAGGGUAUCUAAUCCUGUUCGCUCCCCACGCUUUCGUUCCUCAGCGUCAGUAUCUGUCCAGGUGGCCGCCUUCGCCACUGAUGUUCCUUCCAAUCUCUACGCAUUUCACCGCUACACUGGAAAUUCCACCACCCUCUACAGUACUCUAGUCGAACAGUUCAAAAUGCAGUUCCAAGGUUGAGCCCUGGGCUUUCACAUCUUGCUUAUUCAACCGCCUACGAACGCUUUACGCCCAGUAAUUCCGAUUAACGCUUGCACCCCUCGUAUUACCGCGGCUGCUGGCACGAAGUUAGCCGGUGCUUCUUCUGUUGUUAACGUCACAGAAUGCAGCUAUUAACUACACCCCUUUCCUCACAACUGAAAGUGCUUUACAACCCGAAGGCCUUCUUCACACACGCGGCAUGGCUGCAUCAGGCUUUCGCCCAUUGUGCAAUAUUCCCCACUGCUGCCUCCCGUAGGAGUCUGGGCCGUGUGUC